CUACGGGGGCGGGGGGCCCGGGGGUCCCAGCUGCGUGGAUGCUGCUCCCGCCGGGGCACCAAAAACCCGCGAAAGGUUGCUCACGUCUCCUGCUCCCUGGGCGCGCCGCGGGUAGCAGUGAGCAGGGAUCCGCGCGCGGCGGCGAGAAGAGCCGGAAGCCUGGGCAUCCCUCGCUCUCCCGCCCCGCCGGCCGCACGAGCGCCCUGGGCCCUGGCGACAGAACGGGGAGGCUGCGCUUUCUCUGCCCCCUGGGUCUGGCCAGCAAGUCCAGGUCAGGGUGAGCCCUGCUUGGCCCGAGGUGUGGGGGUCUGAGCGCCGAGUGGGAGCACGGGGUUCCAGGGUGAGCCCCGGAGAACGUCCGGGACCGGUCACUGACCCGGCGGUGGGGUGGGAUCCCGUUAUCAGACUGCAGGGUGUGCGGGGGGUGGGGAGCAGCGGGGGGCGUGGGGAGAAAGGGUGUAAGGGAGGCUCUGUUCGGGGAGAUGUGGGUGGCCACGCCCGAGUUUGCCGGGCGGACGGUGGCACCAGGCAGAGCGGGCCCCGGAGCUGGUCGCCCAGACUGCACCCUCACCCAAAGUCCCAGCGAGACCUGCCGGGUCCUAACCCGGGUGCAGCAUGCUUGGCGCGCCGAGAGCUGUUAGUGGGCAGAGCACUGGAGGAGAAAGUGUUUCUGCGGUGCCUCUGGCUCCUUCCGUCCGAGACUGCAGGGAACCUCUCCCCGGGAAUGGUGAACUCUCCGGUUUUACAACCGAGACCUUCAAACAGGAACGGUCUUUUAGGGCAGUACACGUGAAUAAUUCACUAAGAGAAGAGAUGGGUUCCUAUCAACCCACCGUGCCACACGGGCCCUCAGAGUACUUCCUGCGUGCCCUACAUAGGAUUUUUCCAUCUGUCACAACAUUGGACCGUGACACAUUUAUCCAAACGGAAGAAAAAAGAGAGAGAAAAAUUCCGCUCGUGUCAACCAGUCCAACUUUUCUGACAAUUGGAAGAGUAAACGUUAGCAGAUGCCAGGGCAAACCCAUUUAUACUGCAAGACGCAUUUUAGGGGCCAGUGCUGAGAGCCAGGACGAUACCUUUUAAUCCAGGAGGACACUUAAGAGCAGACUAAGCCAGUUUCCCCCUGGUUACUGCCCUAAUAAAGGGCGGCGGAAAAGCCCAGGGUCUGAUUACCACCCGCUCCCAUGGCUGCAGGAAAGAGAUCACGGGAUUUCAGGGAGCAAAGUCCUCAAAAAGCAUAUAGUGUGGCUUCCACACCUCAAGCAGCUGGAAAAGUGGACUGGAAAACAGGAAGAAAACACUUUGUAAACGUCAGUAGUUGCCUCACAGAUGAACAUUCUUUCAGCAGCAGAGUCAUUCGCUUUCGUUCUCACCCUUGAACCCUGACUGCACAUCCUUUAGAAACCUUUUAAGCCAGUUAGCCACGCCCCCACCCCCGAGCACAGCAUGUCUGGGCAGAAGCAGAAGGUCUGCGUUACUGAGCUACCCUCCCCUUGUCCAGAAGUCCUGGGUCCCAUGCCCACGCAGCACCCUGUGCAACACGCCACUGAUCUUCUCUCGUCUGUGUCCCUGACCGGGUCUGGAGCGCCUUGAAGGUGAGGACUGUGUUGCCUAGCAAAGUGCACUUAGGAACCCUUUGCAUUUAACCCUUAGUUCUGCUCAAUAAAUGUUUACUACAUUCUAGGGAAUAAGAAAACUGCCUGAGGACUCGCCCCAGGUUAAUUUCUAAGAGUGUUCUCCUUACUGAACUAGGUUAAUAUAUAGUUAUUGUAGCUCACUUUAGUCAAGUAUGCCAAACAGUAAACAUAAACUUCCAAAAGGGGAGGAGAAGAAAACAUACCUAUUUCCAGUGAUGAUGCCAAAAGAAAUGGUUCCCACACAGCUCUGCUUCCACGCAGCCUGGAAACCAGGUUUAGCUACAUUCCUAUUUCCUAAAGUCAAUAGAACGUCACUCCUCUAACACAAUUUAUUUUUUUCCCCAAAAGAUAAAUGUUGAAAACAGAGAAUUCAAAAUAGUGGUGGUACUUUGUAUGCUCCAAACCAGUGUUUCACAAGGUAUGGAGGGGGAGGGGAGCCAUAGUGGAAUCCCCUGAGGUACCUGCUUAAAAUGCCUAAUUAGGGCCUGAACUGUAAUGAAUCAGUCUCGGGGGUGUGUCUGGGGUCUGGAUUUUUAAAAAAUAUUUAUUUAUUUGGCUGCCCCGGGUCUUGAGUUGCACCAUACAGGAUCUUCGUUGCAGCACGUGGGAUCUUUAGUUGUGGCAUGUGGGAUGUACUUCCCCAUCCAGGGACCUAACCCCAGCCCCCUGCAUUGGGAGCGCAGGAGUCUUACCCACUGGACCACCAGGGAGGCCUUCUGUACUAGACUGGUCGAUAGAAAGGACUGCUGACCUCAACACCCGCAAGAGAAAAAGACAACAGCAGUGGUAGACAGCGACCCAAGAAUCUGGAGCAGGAUAGAAAGGAAAUUCUCCAGCGAAGCUGAAUAACUACUCACGAUGUGUAUCACUGCUUGCUACUGAAAGGUCUGCAAACAAAAAAGGGAAGAUGAUGGAGGAAACUUUCACGUAUUGAGCUUCCUGGGAAAGAAAAAUUCCUGUGACUUGAACUGCGGAAAGACAGAAGUUAUCACAGAUGUCACAUGGCUCAGGGUGGAGCCAAGGAAAUCAAGAAAAAUGCCGCCUCAGAGCCACUGGAUGACUGCUCCUGGGACUGACUGGAUCCUGUAAUCACACGACAUUUGGAUUAGAGAGACGCAGAACGCCUCUCUGACACUCCCCGUGCAGCUCUGAAUCCCACUGUCUUCCCUGGCGGUCUGCCAGUCUACCCUCAGUGCAGCUGAGCUGGCUAAGAGCAGAGCACAAAGACUACUUGUUCCCAACUCCUCCUCCCCUCUUCUCGGGAGCAGGGCAGCAGGCGAGAGCUGGGACGAGCCAGAGCCCACACCAGUCCUCCGGCUCCCCGUCCACGCCAGGAGGCCACUUGCAGGCACCGUGGGCCUCCUCCUGCAGACAUGCAGAAACCCACAGGCACCCAGAGCUUUGCUACUGCUGUUGUCACAGGGCCGAAGAGCUUCAAGGCCUGGGGGUGCCCAGGGCACAGCACAGUCACCUGCAUACCCUAGGAUGGGACACUAAAGAACACUCAUGGCAAGGGGUUGACAUCAUCUCUAUGAUUCAAUUAUUUAGGACUUUCCUCCAUCUUAACCUCAUGCCAAAAAGAACGAGAAAUUUUGAAAGUACAAAUGAGGAGCACGUUUUAGUAGCUAAGAUUUGUUGAACAUCUAUUAUGUGCCAGGCACUGUGCUUAUUGUCUUUGCAUAUACGUACCGUCUUAACUCUAAACAACAGUCUAUGAGAUAAGUAACACUCCUCUAUAUCCAUUUUACAGAUGAGGAAUAAAGCUCAGAGAGGUUAAGUAAUUUGUUAACCAAGGUCUCAUAACCAGUAAAACCAGGACCGAGGAUUCAAACCUGGACUAUCUGACUUUCAAGCCUCUGGUACCUUGCCUGCAGAAAUGCAUAAGGAAAUGGAGGCAAAAGAAAAACGGCAUGACAGCCAUAGAAAAGAAUGAAAUAAUGCCAUCCACAGCAACAUGGAUGGACCUAGAGAUUGUCAUACUAAGUGAAGUCAGACAAAGACAAAUACU